AUCUGGGCGACGGAAUUCAGGACGGCUGGCGGGUCUCGCGCUCGUCCGGCCGUUUGAUAUUUCCGUCGCCGUGUCAGACGUCGCGACCUGUUUGUCGUCGGUCCUUGCUCGGAGGAAUCGCGAUCGAGUUCGUUGCGGGCGCGCCUCGGUGUGUUCCGCGGCGAAGACGCGACUCUCUGGCUGACGACGGACAGUAAGCAACGGUGGCCGGCGUCGUGUCUCGCACUCGGCGUCGGUACCGGUCAGCGACGAUUUCUUCGGGCCUCUUUCCGACCCGUCUUGAAACACGGACCAAGGAGUCUAACAUGCGCGCGAGUCGCGGGGUUUCGAGCGUGCCACGGUGCGCUCGUUACUUCCGAAACCCGUACGUUGAAGGCGUAAUGAAAGUGAACAGGGAAGAUGGCGUUCCGAGUCCACGUACCGUGAUCGAGUAUCGCGGCCGGACGCCCGCACUCCCGGGGCGUCUCAAUGGCUCGCCACGGAUGCGGACGGUCGUCUUUCGGGGCGGUCGUCGGUCUGUGGCGGGCCGA
rnacentral:rRNA from 1 species